rnacentral:sRNA from 1 species
GUUUAGCCCCGAUUGAAGCAAUUGUUUGAGCUCUUUUUUGUUUUUUUCAAACAAAAAAAGCGAGUGCGGAAAGCGGGAAAUAGC